rnacentral:rRNA from 1 species
UACGUAGGGUGCGAGCGUUAAUCGGAAUUACUGGGCGUAAAGCGUGCGCAGGCGGCUUUGCAAGACAGAUGUGAAAUCCCCGGGCUCAACCUGGGAACUGCAUUUGUGACUGCAAGGCUAGAGUACGGCAGAGGGGGAUGGAAUUCCGCGUGUAGCAGUGAAAUGCGUGGAUAUGCGGAGGAACACCAAUGGCGAAGGCAAUCCCCUGGGCCUGUACUGACGCUCAUGCACGAAAGCGUGGGGAGCAAACAGG